GGUUAAGCGACUAAGCGUACACGGUGGAUGCCCUGGCAGUCAGAGGCGAUGAAGGACGUGCUAAUCUGCGAAAAGCGUCGGUAAGGUGAUAUGAACCGUUAUAACCGGCGAUGUCCGAAUGGGGAAACCCAGUGCAAUUCGUUGCACUAUCGUUAACUGAAUACAUAGGUUAACGAGGCGAACCGGGGGAACUGAAACAUCUAAGUACCCCGAGGAAAAGAAAUCAACCGAGAUUCCCCCAGUAGCGGCGAGCGAACGGGGAGCAGCCCAGAGUCUGAAUCAGCUUGUGUGUUAGUGGAACGGUCUGGAAAGUCCGACGGUACAGGGUGAUAGUCCCGUACACCAAAAUGCACAGGCUGUGAACUCGAAGAGUAGGGCGGGACACGUGGUAUCCUGUCUGAAUAUGGGGGGACCAUCCUCCAAGGCUAAAUACUCCUGACUGACCGAUAGUGAACCAGUACCGUGAGGGAAAGGCGAAAAGAACCCCGGCGAGGGGAGUGAAAAAGAACCUGAAACCGUGUACGUACAAGCAGUGGGAGCACCUUCGGGUGUGACUGCGUACCUUUUGUAUAAUGGGUCAGCGACUUAUAUUCUGUAGCAAGGUUAACCGUAUAGGGGAGCCGCAGGGAAACCGAGUCUUAACUGGGCGUUAAGUUGCAGGGUAUAGACCCGAAACCCGGUGAUCUAGCCAUGGGCAGGUUGAAGGUUGGGUAACACUAACUGGAGGACCGAACCGACUAAUGUUGAAAAAUUAGCGGAUGACUUGUGGCUGGGGGUGAAAGGCCAAUCAAACCGGGAGAUAGCUGGUUCUCCCCGAAAGCUAUUUAGGUAGCGCCUCGUGAAUUCAUCUUCGGGGGUAGAGCACUGUUUCGGCUAGGGGGUCAUCCCGACUUACCAACCCGAUGCAAACUACGAAUACCGAAGAAUGUUAUCACGGGAGACACACGGCGGGUGCUAACGUCCGUCGUGAAGAGGGAAACAACCCAGACCGCCAGCUAAGGUCCCAAAGUCAUGGUUAAGUGGGAAACGAUGUGGGAAGGCACAGACAGCCAGGAUGUUGGCUUAGAAGCAGCCAUCAUUUAAAGAAAGCGUAAUAGCUCACUGGUCGAGUCGGCCUGCGCGGAAGAUGUAACGGGGCUAAACCAUGCACCGAAGCUGCGGCAGCGACACUAUGUGUUGUUGGGUAGGGGAGCGUUCUGUAAGCCUGCGAAGGUGUGCUGUGAGGCAUGCUGGAGGUAUCAGAAGUGCGAAUGCUGACAUAAGUAACGAUAAAGCGGGUGAAAAGCCCGCUCGCCGGAAGACCAAGGGUUCCUGUCCAACGUUAAUCGGGGCAGGGUGAGUCGACCCCUAAGGCGAGGCCGAAAGGCGUAGUCGAUGGGAAACAGGUUAAUAUUCCUGUACUUGGUGUUACUGCGAAGGGGGACGGAGAAGGCUAUGUUAGCCGGGCGACGGUUGUCCCGGUUUAAGCAUGUAGGCUGGUUAUCCAGGCAAAUCCGGAUAAUCAAGGCUGAGGUGUGAUGACGAGGCACUACGGUGCUGAAGUAACAAAUGCCCUGCUUCCAGGAAAAGCCUCUAAGCAUCAGGUAACAUCAAAUCGUACCCCAAACCGACACAGGUGGUCAGGUAGAGAAUACCAAGGCGCUUGAGAGAACUCGGGUGAAGGAACUAGGCAAAAUGGUGCCGUAACUUCGGGAGAAGGCACGCUGGUGUGUAGGUGAAGUCCCUGCGGAUGGAGCUGAGACCAGUCGAAGAUACCAGCUGGCUGCAACUGUUUAUUAAAAACACAGCACUGUGCAAACACGAAAGUGGACGUAUACGGUGUGACGCCUGCCCGGUGCCGGAAGGUUAAUUGAUGGGGUUAUCCGUAAGGAGAAGCUCUUGAUCGAAGCCCCGGUAAACGGCGGCCGUAACUAUAACGGUCCUAAGGUAGCGAAAUUCCUUGUCGGGUAAGUUCCGACCUGCACGAAUGGCGUAAUGAUGGCCAGGCUGUCUCCACCCGAGACUCAGUGAAAUUGAACUCGCUGUGAAGAUGCAGUGUACCCGCGGCAAGACGGAAAGACCCGCUGAACCUUUACUAUAGCUUGACACUGAACAUUGAGCCUUGAUGUGUAGGAUAGGUGGGAGGCUUUGAAGCGUGGACGCCAGUCUGCGUGGAGCCAACCUUGAAAUACCACCCUUUAAUGUUUGAUGUUCUAACGUUGGCCCCUGACCGGGGUUGCGGACAGUGUCUGGUGGGUAGUUUGACUGGGGCGGUCUCCUCCCAAAGCGUAACGGAGGAGCACGAAGGUUAGCUAAUCCUGGUCGGACAUCAGGAGGUUAGUGCAAUGGCAUAAGCUAGCUUGACUGCGAGCGUGACGGCGCGAGCAGGUGCGAAAGCAGGUCAUAGUGAUCCGGUGGUUCUGAAUGGAAGGGCCAUCGCUCAACGGAUAAAAGGUACUCCGGGGAUAACAGGCUGAUACCGCCCAAGAGUUCAUAUCGACGGCGGUGUUUGGCACCUCGAUGUCGGCUCAUCACAUCCUGGGGCUGAAGUAGGUCCCAAGGGUAUGGCUGUUCGCCAUUUAAAGUGGUACGCGAGCUGGGUUUAGAACGUCGUGAGACAGUUCGGUCCCUAUCUGCCGUGGGCGCUGGAGAAUUGAGGGGGGCUGCUCCUGGUACGAGAGGACCGGAGUGGACGCAUCACUGGUGUUCGGGUUGUCAUGCCAAUGGCACUGCCCGGUAGCUAAAUGCGGAAGAGAUAAGUGCUGAAAGCAUCUAAGCACGAAACUUGCCCCGAGAUGAGUUCUCCCUGAGACUUUAAGUCUCCUGAAGGAACGUUGAAGACGACGACGUUGAUAGGCCGGGUGUGUAAGCGCAGCGAUGCGUUGAGCUAACCGGUACUAAUGAACCGUGAGGCUUAACCUU
rnacentral:rRNA from 1 species